GCAGGGACGCGUCCGGUUUUGAUGGCGACUG
rnacentral:misc_RNA from 1 species